UACGGGAGGCAGCAGUGGGGAAUAUUGCACAAUGGGCGCAAGCCUGAUGCAGCCAUGCCGCGUGUAUGAAGAAGGCCUUCGGGUUGUAAAGUACUUUCAGUCGUGAGGAAGGUGUUAAGGUUAAUAACCUUAGCAAUUGACGUUAGCGACAGAAGAAGCACCGGCUAAUUCCGUGCCAGCAGCCGCGGUAAUACGGAGGGUGCGAGCGUUAAUCGGAAUUACUGGGCGUAAAGGGCACGCAGGCGGUUAAUUAAGUUGGAUGUGAAAUCCCCGGGCUUAACCUGGGAAUGGCAUUCAAGACUGGUUAGCUAGAGUCUUGUAGAGGGGGUAGAAUUCCAUGUGUAGCGGUGAAAUGCGUAGAGAUGUGGAGGAAUACCGGUGGCGAAGGCGGCCCCUGGACAAAGACUGACGCUCAUGUGCGAAAGCGUGGGGAGCAAACAGGGAUUAGAUACC
rnacentral:rRNA from 1 species